GUAGGUGGCAAGCGUUGUCCGGAAUUAUUGGGCGUAAAGCGCGCGCAGGCGGUCCUUUAAGUCUGAUGUGAAAGCCCACGGCUCAACCGUGGAGGGUCAUUGGAAACUGGAGAACUUGAGUACAGAAGAGGAAAGCGGAAUUCCACGUGUAGCGGUGAAAUGCGUAGAGAUGUGGAGGAACACCAGUGGCGAAGGCGGCUUUCUGGUCUGUAACUGACGCUGAGGCGCGAAAGCGUGGGGAGCAAACAGGGAUUAGAUACCCUGGUAGUCCACGCCGUAAACGAUGAGUGCUAAGUGUUAGGGGGUUUCCGCCCCCUUAGUGCUGCAGCUAACGCAUUAAGCACUCCGCCUGGGGAGUACGGCCGCAAGGCUG
rnacentral:rRNA from 1 species